CAAAAAGUAAUUCAUAUUUUCUCACAUUUUAAAACUAACUAAAACCAAAAAAAUAAAAAAAUUGUCAUGUAUAGAAAACUUAUGGAUUCUUUUUUCUCAUUCAAAAUCCAGAAACUGAUAAAUAAAGUUCCAGCAUUCUUUUUGGUAACAUCAUUUUUAACUUAGAUAUCUCUUCUUUCUAAAAAAAUAAAAAAUAAAAAAAAAUCUUGCUUUUGAAAAAUUUUUAACCCCACCAAAGGUUUCC
rnacentral:lncRNA from 1 species